rnacentral:rRNA from 1 species
GAUGAACGCUGGCGGCGUGCCUAAUACAUGCAAGUCGAGCGAACGGACGAGAAGCUUGCUUCUCUGAUGUUAGCGGCGGACGGGUGAGUAACACGUGGAUAACCUACCUAUAAGACUGGGAUAACUUCGGGAAACCGGAGCUAAUACCGUAUAAUAUUUUGAACCGCAUGGUUCAAAAGUGAAAGACGGUCUUGCUGUCACUUAUAGAUGGAUCCGCGCUGCAUUAGCUAGUUGGUAAGGUAACGGCUUACCAAGGCAACGAUGCAUAGCCGACCUGAGAGGGGGAUAGGCCACACUGGAACUGAGACACGGUCAAGACUACUACGGGAGGCAGCAGUAGGGAAUCUUCCGCAAUGGGCGAAAGCAUGACGGAGCAACGCCGCGUGAGUGAUGAAGGUCUUCGGAGCGUAAAACUCUGUUAUUAGGGAAGAACAGAUGUGGAAGUAACUGUGCACAGCUUGACGGUACCUAAUCAGAAAGCCACGGCUAACUACGUG